rnacentral:rRNA from 1 species
UACGGAGGAUCCAAGCGUUAUCCGGAUUCAUUGGGUUUAAAGGGUCCGUAGGCGGAUUUUUAAGUCAGUGGUGAAAGCCGACAGCUCAACUGUCGAACUGCCAUUGAUACUGGAAAUCUUGAGUACAAAUGAAGUAGGCGGAAUGAGUCAUGUAGCGGUGAAAUGCAUAGAUAUGACUCAGAACACCGAUUGCGAAGGCAGCUUACUAACAUGUAACUGACGCUGAGGGACGAAAGCGUGGGGAGCGAACAGG